CAUCAAAUAACCUGACCCAGCCAAGAAUUGAUCUGAGCCGUUGAUCAAAUGAGAUCAACGACCCAGAUUUAGUUUCCAUAAUUAAAACCUAAAUAGCCUAACCUCUCCCCUGAUUCUGUAACACUCGGCUCUCUCUAUAACCCCUCAUCUCUGAGUUCUCUCUAGAAUCUUCGAUCCUCUCUCUUCUCCGAUGGCUUUCACUGCCAUUCCGGCCACCUUUACCCUCACUCCUCUCGACCACCACUCACCAUGGUAUCAUAUCUCAUUACUUAUCUCUCAAACUCGAAGCCUAGAUGCUUCUGCCAUGAAAGACGCUGGAUAGAAGCUUGCCUGAGUCUUUGCCAGCUUCUCUCCGGUGGGUUUUAGUUCGAUGGUGCUUUAAACUCCAUUAUUAACAAGUGUCACGCCCAGGUUCUUCACCUCACCGAUUUUAUUUGCAAACCCUAAUUUUUUUAAUCAAAUCUCUUUAUCUCUGCCUUUUAAAAUAAUUUUUAGUUUAAUCUUUGUUUCUACACUAUUUCUCACUCAAUAUCUCUGAUUAAUUCAAAGUUUUCCGAUAAUUUUCUCUUUUUUAAAAACUAGGGUUUCUGACCAAUUUUUCAAAAUCGUUAUAUCUUCUGAUUUUCUUGAGUACUAUGUGGUUGUGUUGUGUUAUGUGUUUGUUUAUGUUACGAGCUUGUUUGUCUUCUUGUUAAUCUGAGUUCCAUGCUCUAAAUUCUUUCUAGGGUUCCGACCCUUUACUGCUUAUAUGAUCUCUUGCAUAAGGUUCUUUGAUUUUUCACGCCUAUUGUGUUUAUAUGUCUAGUUGUUAUUCGAAUGAUUCUGUGCUUCUCUUUGAAUCCCUAAUCUGUAAAAUUUUCUUAAAUGUUCUUACACUGAUUUUUGAAUCAUUUCCUUACUUGUGGGAUGCUCUCUAUACUUGGUACUGAUUCCCUCUGAUUUUGGUCUUGUCCGUGAUUCUUUGAUUAAUUUUUAGAGUUAAUUUAUAUUUCCUUACCAUAUUUGCGCAUGAACAGACUUUCAAAUCUUGAACUACUAUGUAUUUAGCCCUUAUUACAUAUUACAUGCUUUACUAUGGUAGAUACAACAAUCUAAUUGAUUCUUUUCCUUUUAAAAUAGUUGUUUAAUACAGUUUGACUUUGGUUCCUUAAUUGAAGAGUAGUCCAUAUGCUGAUUGGAUUGUGAUUGAUGCCAGUUCCUUAGUUAAAUAUUGUUGCCUUGUUUGUUUACUCAUAUUCAGUACUAUAAGUACCUCCCCCCAUUCUCUUUGAAGACAGUAAUACAUUGUAUAUCUCUCACAAGUUCAAACUCUCUGAACUUUCUCUCUCUCUCUCUCUCUCCCUCUCUCUCUCUCUCUCUCUCUCUCUCUCUCUCUUUCUCUACUGUCUCUAUACUCUCUCACUCUCAUAUUUGAACAUUCAAUCGGCAGAAAUCCAAGAUUGAGUAAACUUGGUUGUCUAAUACACUAAUGGGUUUCUAGUGCAUUAUUUACAUGGGUUUGCGUGCUGCUCUCUUCUUUGCAAUGCUGUUCUCACUUAUUACUCUCAUUCUCUGCACAGUUUGCUCUCCUCUUGUGCAUUAUUGCUCAUCGCUCUUGUGUUCUAUUUGCCUGCAACUGGUAUGUCGUCUACUUAGUGUACAGUUUCCAAAACAACAUGCUUUUGUUAGUUCUGCACUUCAUCUUGUUUCUUGUGUGCUUUUAUCUAUGGUCCUGCUACUCUUCUUGUCACUAGCAUGUGUUUAUUAGUCUACCUAGUUUAAUUUAGCAUGGUCCCCCUACCCAUACCCUGUCUCAAUGAAUGUUUACUUUUUCCAUGUGUGCUAUACCAUGCAUCCAGGUCUGCUUGGCUAUUUGAUUAGCCUGAAACCUCUUCCUGAGGUUGAUUGUAUUAGGGUUUCGUGCAGUAAGAGCUGGACUCUUAUUUUGCAACCAUGUCUGGUUACUUUCUUCCAAUGUGUUGCCUGUGUGAGUAGUUUACUUUUCUUAUUUGUUCCCUUCCCCUUUUUCCCUUGUUUGUGUGAUGCUCUGUUGUUCUAUAACUGGCCAGUCUAAAUGGUUUCAACAGUAUUCUUGCAACUCUUUCAACUGUUUUUCUCAAAUUGUCUCUCAACUGUUUUCAAUUCUCUCAAUUCUAUCACAUUCUUACUACUUUUAGAAUAUUAGGUUCUGCCCCCUUAGUGUAGGCAUUGCUUUGGGAGCCCUUGAGCACCCAAUGAACUUUGAUGCACAAGGCUGGCACUUCCACACUUGCACUUGUCUAAUAAUGA
rnacentral:lncRNA from 1 species